UACAUAUGUUCCAACUCAACAUCUCAUACGUCUAGUGUAGAGGCGAGGAGUACUGCAACUGAUUUAGUUCUACUUUCCCUGCUUUUGAAUCUAUGUUCUUUUACAUCUACCGUCUUUGAUUGAAUCUAUGUUCUUUUACAUCUACCAUCUUUGGAUAGACAACGACGUGAAGAGGAGUUGAAAGGAAUGGAAGUUGUCUUCUUAUUUAAUGAAUGUCCAUGGCCAUAAAAUUGCUUGCUAUACCCAUGUGAUGAAAAAUGGUUGAUGUUAUUUCCUCUAAUUGCUUGGCGGGGGUACACAUCUUUUCGUAAGGAUGAAACUGAAUCCUCUGGCAUAUGGCAUUCGAUGGGAUGAGGUAUUGGAUAUGGGCCUCCUUACCCUUGGACAAUGGGAAUUCUUGGUUUCUUGCUGAGAUUUAUGCAAUGCCGA